rnacentral:pre_miRNA from 1 species
CUAAUGUCCGCAGGCUAUCUGGCCCCCAGGCUGGGCUGGGUGAGUACCUCUUCGAAAGGCUCACCCUCAAACAUGAGUAGGAGG